rnacentral:lncRNA from 1 species
AUGUGUAUGUGCUUUGGGAAUAAAGUAAUCUGUAAAUAUAAAAAAAGGUUUGGGCAUAAAACAAUUUUUUCCUUGAAAUCAUUGUAUUAUUUUGAAGGAAUGUUCUCUAGGCUGUAUAAAUAUAUAUAUGCAUAUCACAUAUGCAGUCGUAAUAGCUAUAUGAUAAACUGCAAUAUAUCAUCCACUUUUCAUCACCUCACCUGUUCUCUGCCUAAUGAUUCAUUUACCUUGGGACUGUGUAUAAUACUCCAGAUCUUUGAGCAGUUUCUAAUGGCUACUUCCCUUUUUUUAAAUUUUAAUAGCAUAUUCAGAAUCCUCUUACAGUGCCAAGUGGUCAAAGCAGCUGUGUUGAUCAUCAGUCCAAGACUUCAUAUCAUUCAGUUAGAAAAUCAGCCAUGUACAUUACUAAGCUCCAAUAGUGCCCUCAUGUCUGAUCUGGAUAAUGUGCCAUCUGUGGGACAGUCUGAAGAGUUUACAAAACCACAUGAUAGUCCAUUACCACUCUGUGGAAAUGUGACUGAAAGGAAAAAACAUGCAACAUCUUGUAGAUCAAACACUGAUGCAGGUAUAGCGGAUUUUAAUAAAAAAGUGACCCCAAGUAAUGUGUCAGAUUGGAGCAUUGACAAGGGCAACACCACCAAUGAAAUGAGUGUGCAAGCAAAACCAAAUGUGUUGUCUCAUCCUGAUUCACCACUUCACCCUAGCAAUGAAUUUAAGACAAAUUCAAAUGAGGUCCAUUUUGGUAACCAGCUAAAGCCCGAGGAAACUGUUUAUGAUACUGAAAUGGAACUGACUGCCAGUGAUGUGGGUAAGAUACUCACAAUUACAUCAAAAGCCAAAAAUAAAAGGAAUAGUAAUGCCAAAACUGAUAAAAUUUCAGCAAAUUUGAGAAAAGUGAGGUAUUCAAACACAGGAAAAAAAGAUAAAGAGAAAAUUAAAAGCAAUCCUAAAGGCAGUUCAGAUUUUCAUAGUGAAAAAAGGCACAAAAAUACUGAAAAGAUUAUAGAUUCAAACACUAGUGAAUCAGACACUCCAAAGUUUCGGUUGGAGGCAGAACAGAUGGCUAAAAGGAAUGCUUUGGGAGAGCUGACACUACAAAGGACCGAUGAAUAUGAUGUACAGAAUUCCCAAUACAACGAUAAAGCUACCAGAAGGACGUAUCUAGUUAAUUUAGCAAGCCCAAGUAAACAACAAAAAACUGAUUUACAACAGAAAAUAAACAAACAAAUUCUCUCAGAAAGAUUAGAAAAUAU